rnacentral:tRNA from 1 species
GGUAGCGUGGCGUUCGGCGGCACCAGCACCGCUGUGGGUGGUGCAAGCGUGGCGUUCGGUACCGACAGCGCUGCUU